GACGAACGCUGGCGGCGUGCUUAACACAUGCAAGUCGAGCGGUAAGGCCCUUUCGGGGGUACACGAGCGGCGAACGGGUGAGUAACACGUGGGUGACCUGCCCUCAGCUCUGGGAUAAGCCUGGGAAACCGGGUCUAAUACUGGAUAUGACUCCAUGACGCAUGUUGGUGGGGUGGAAAGCCUUGUGCGGCGUGAGGAUGGGCCCGCGGCCUAUCAGCUUGGUUGGUGGGGUGAUGGCCUACCAAGGCGACGACGGGUAGCCGGCCUGAGAGGGCGACCGGCCACACUGGGACUGAGACACGGCCCAGACUCCUACGGGAGGCAGCAGUGGGGAAUCUUGCGCAAUGGGCGAAAGCCUGACGCAGCGACGCCGCGUGAGGGAUGACGGCCU
rnacentral:rRNA from 1 species